UCUGAUUUUAAUGAAUAUGAUUCUGACAGCGAAUAUUCAUUUGGUAGCAAGACGGAUGUAGUGAUGAUGAUACCGAAUCAACAAUGUUUGAAUUUGAAAAAGAAACAGAUUAUUCAAAUUCAUUUCCCUGGUUAGGGCUGGGCUUUACAAUGGGAUUUUCAGCUGUGGAGCUAUAAGAAUUACUACAUAGGGUUUCCAAUGUAGCUUUGUGAUCAGAAUCCAGAAAUAAGAAGAGGAGAGACAAUGCAGAUGCAGCAUUAGCAUUACCAAUUACUUACCACUGCUGAGAAAAUGGUACAUACUUUGAGUACUACUUUUGUGUAUUUGGAGACAGUCCAGUUGUUCUUUAAACCAGAAGUGGAAAUUUCAGUGCUUGUUAAAUUUUCUCCAGAAGUUAUUGGAUGCUACAUAGGAAGAAAAUGGGGUCAUACUGAACAGAAUAGUUUGGAUACAUCUUAUAGAUUUUGAAAGCUUGAGACCUCAAGAUCAACCCAAAUGGUGUACCAAACAUGAAGAAAAAAAGACAGUUUAUGAUUGAAGAAGCUUGUUUAGUAGCCAAAAUUUCAGGGUAUUUCAUAUAUGUUAACUUAUACAAUUUUAUCGGUACAUGUACUUAAACAUUGUUAA